rnacentral:rRNA from 1 species
AGCAUAAUCAUUAGUCUUUUAAUUGAAGGCUAGAAUGAACGGUUGGACGAGGAAAANUCUGUCUCUUAAUUAAUAUUANGAAUUUAACUUUUAAGUGAAAAGGCUUAAAUUUAACAGAAAGACGAUAAGACCCUAUAAAUCUUUACAUUANUNUUUAAUUUAAAAUUNUANGUUAGUAAAAUAUUAUUAAAANAAAAAAAUUUUUUGUNGGGGNGACGGGAAAAAAAAAUUAUCUGUUCAAAUAUAAUACAGAUUUAACUGAGAAUAAUAAGAUCCUUUUUAAAGAUUAUUAGAUUAAGUUACUUUAGGGAUAACAGCGUUAUUUUAUUUGAGAGUUCUUAUCGAAAAUAAAGAUUGCGACCUCGAUGUUGAAUUAAAAUUUCUU